rnacentral:lncRNA from 1 species
AAGGAGAGAGGGACCCUAGGAGGGACAUGAAAUCCUGAUAAGACAGACAAUCAGGUGAGAGGAGGUCCUAACUAGUCAAUGAUCUAAAUUGAUCGAAACCUGUAGACACUGUAGCCUUUAUGGACUGGAGUUGCACACGUCAUAGAACAACAUGAAAAAGAAAGUGACAGACUAAUAGUGCAUUGUUGGUAAAUGGUGACAUACUGACUGAUGUGCAAGUAAUAAUAAUAAAUAUGUAUUUGUUAUGCAAAGUGAUUUGUAGAUAAGUCAGUCUGUGUGUGGAAGAGGAUGAAGACCUUUAGUUACGUGCAGGACAUAGUAAAACACAUGCUAUCAAUGACAUGCAGCUUUUCUCAUAGACGGGAGGUUACAAUGUGAAGGAAUCUGUUAGGAUUGGAAGUUGUCUCUUUAUGUUUCUUUUGAGAUGGUAUGGCCUCUGAGGACCCCCAAGACCAACUGUAUGAGGCUAUUAAAAAGGUAGAAUGCCUUGCUGAGGAGCUCAACCAAGAGGACCCACAAGCCCAACUGGACGAGGCCAUUAAUGAGGCAAAAAGGCUGGCUGAGGAGCUCAACCAAGAGGACCCACAAGCCCAACUGGACAAGGCCAUUAAUGAGGCAAAAAGGCUGGCUGAGGAGCUCAACCCAGAACAGGAAAAUAAGAAGAAAAAGACAAACAAGCCUCCAGGGAUUAGGUUCAGAUGGAGACAAAGGGAUGAGAGAGGACAGAUUGUUCCUCAAACCAGGAAGGCAACUACAUCCACUUCUCUUGCUCCAAGGGCCAGUACAUCGAGAGCCAGACUAGUGUAA